rnacentral:rRNA from 1 species
UACGGGGGGGGCAAGCGUUGUUCGGAAUUACUGGGCGUAAAGGGCUCGUAGGCGGCCAACUAAGUCAGACGUGAAAUCCCUCGGCUUAACCAGGGAACUGCGUCUGAUACUGGAUGGCUUGAGUUUGGGAGAGGGAUGCGGAAUUCCAGGUGUAGCGGUGAAAUGCGUAGAUAUCUGGAGGAACACCGGUGGCGAAGGCGGCAUCCUGGACCGAUAUUGACGCUGAGGCGCGAAAGCCAGGGGAGCAAACGGG